rnacentral:rRNA from 1 species
GCUUAGCUUGACAAAUGGAGCUAUUGGCUUGAAUUGUAUUGUGGAAAUGUAUUACCAACAGAGGUGCAGGUGCCAGCCUAUUGAAAUAAAGCGUCAAUGAGGGUGAGAAUCCUGUUUGUCAUGUGCAGCCCUUUGUGCACGGUGUAUAUUUGCUGAGUCACACUCCUUGGCAUUGGAAUGCAAAGUGGGUGGUAAGUUUCAUGUAAAGGUAAACAUGCAAUUGAGACUGAUAGCACACAAGUACCAUGAGGGAAAUAUGAAAAGGACUUUGAAAAGAGAAUUAAAUGAGUUUGUAUUUGCUGAACACAAAGUAAACAGACUUGAUUUGCUUGGUGGGAGUGUUGCACUUGCUUGACAAGAGCUUUGGGCUGUGGGUGUAAUGAUUCUUUCUUUGCAUGCCAGUUUCUAUUUGUACAUCUGAUUACCUUUGCACAUGAAUGAUAAGUCUCCUGUGGGGGGUGGAUUGCAUGUGCAUGUAAUGAUUUGUGUUUUGAUAAAUGUGUCUGGUGUAUGUGUGUGUUCCUGUGCUUGGGGAUGCUUCCUUCCUUGGACUUACAAGCCCUGACACACACAUGCUGGCAAAAUGCUUCUGCUUGACCCGUCUUGAAACACGGACCAAGGAGUCUAACAGAUGUGCAAAGUUUGAAGGUGGUAUACCUUUGUGUGCAAUGAAAGUGUCAGCUGGGAUAUGUGCACCAGCACCCAAUUAAUUAGCGGACAGAGGUUUGAGUUGGAGCAUAUCUAUUAGGACCCGAAAGAUGGUGAACUAUGCCUGAACAGAAUGAAUUCAGAGGAAACUCUGAUGGAGGUUCGUAUCGAUACUGACGUGCAAAUCGUUCGUCAUAUUUGGGUAUAGGGGCGAAAGACUAAUCGAACCAUCUAGUAGCUGGUUCCCUCCGAAGUUUCCCUCAGGAUAGCUGGAGUUGCUCAGUUUUAUCAGGUAAAGCGAAUGAUUAGAGGAAUUGGGGACAGGUUUGUCUUUGACCUAUUCUCAAACUUUAAAUGGGUAAUAUGUAGUGGUUGCUGUAUGGAACUUCUAAGAUAAAUGGCAAUAUUGGGUGGGCCAUUUUUGGUAAGCAGAACUGGCGAUGAGGGAUGAACCUAAUGUGGGGCUAAGGUGCUUAAUUA